GAAGCCAAAGGAAGGAAUUGAAACCUUCUCCAAUCUGAUCCUCUUCAAAUUGGAUAUAGUACCAAGAAAUGGGAAAUUUCUUAUUUCAGUAGGAAAGAAACCAUAUUUUGUGACAAUCAAAACCUUUAAUUUUUUCAUUUUUCCUAAGAAAUCGGGUAAACUGUAGGUCUUUGUGCGACAGUUCAGAACCAAAACCUCAACUUCAGGUGCUUGUAUGUUGCACCAAUUUGAUGAAAACUUUUCAUCUGCAAACAGUGCCCAGUAUGGUGUGAGACAUCAGUGCAUAGAAGAUAAACUAGUAACUGUAUAUCUUAUAGCAUGCCUCUGUGUGUGGGUGCAUUAUGUGCUAGACAAAGGAAAUGAAUAACCUGUGGAGAUGGACAAGAGGCGGCCGCCUACGCUAGGCUGCUUUUGCUCCAUGCACCAGUCGGGAACAUUGUUGGCUCUUAUCUCUAUGAUUAGUCUUUUUGUCUUUUCAAAGGAUUCUAAGCUACUCUGACGGAUGGCUAGUUCUCUGAGAAGAUCAUGCUGCAUAACCAAGUGCUUAUUAUAGUAGCCACUUGCAUCUUUCCUUGCAACACAAAGAUCAAUUAAAUUCCUGUUGGAAAGUUCAUGGAGGUUGGCAAUGGCAUGUACACCAUCUUCAUCUAGUUCAUACAGUUCUGCCCACAUAUCAAUGAGGGCAGUGGCAGGGAUUCUUUGGUCUUCAGGAAAUGAACACAGGUCCAUAAAACAUUCCUUGACAAUAAUUUUGUUAUCCAAGGCAUCCAAACUACUUUGGAGACAAUUGAUUAGUUCAUCAUCUUCAAAAAUAGUACCGUGUUUUGACAAUUCCAUUUCUUUUCUUUUCCAGAUUUCCUCAGGCUCUCCGCAAAGAGAUCUGCCAACCACUUUAAGAGCUAGAGGAAAACCCUUGCACCCUUUCACUAUCUUUUUCACAACGUCUUCAUCAAUAUUAGAGCUCUUAUCCUGAAGGAAAGCAGAGUUACAGAAAACAGUCAUGGCAUCUUUAUCAUUCAGUGGUUUCAGCUUAUAUGAUGAACCAAAUCUUCGCAAUGAAGAUCUUGAUGUUACCAAAAUCUUGUAAUUUGGGAUUUGGAAGUUGAACUUAUCAAGAAGGGAAUCCGAUUCAGGCCAAAUAUCAUCCAGGAUUAAUAAUAUAGCACUUGGUGCUAGGCUUUUCAAAAAUUGUUCCAAGUGGUAGACUAAAUGUUCAUCUGUUUGAGACUGAGGCACCUCAUAACCCUUGUGCUGAAAUAGUCUCUGUACAAUGCUCUCCAAGGUUGGUUUUCUCGACACAAUUACAAAGAAGAUAUUAUCACCAAAUUUCUCUUUAACUUCUUUAUCAUGACAAAGUAGUUUAGCCAAAGUGGUCUUUCCACAACCUGGAGGAGCAGACAACACAACCAUGGACACUUUAUCAUUGAACAGCUCCAUCUUCAAUUCCCUUAAUGGCACCUCUAAUCCUAUAGGAUUUAUCAGUGGCUCGGGCAGCACCAAUGGAGCAAUAUAUCCAUUCACAUUAUGCGCCCUACUAGUCUUCACAUUCAAAUCUAAUCGCUUCAAAUCCAUACGCAGAUCUUUUACCUCCAACAAAGUUUCCUUGCCAUCUCUUGCUUGUUGGGCUUGCAUAACAAUCUCGAAGAAAGACUUGAGUGACUUUUCUAACUUGAUAAGCUUGCCUGCGUAUUUAGGCCUUUUCCAACAGGCCAACCAGUGUAUUCCUGAGCAUUCAAGAACGAGUUCUUCACCUUUCUUGAUUUGUUCCAUUAUUUGACCCAUUUCCUGUUUUGGACGAUCCAAUACUUUGUUGAGCUCUUCGAUUUCUUUAAUCACAGGAAUUAUGGAUUUAAGUGUGGAUUCCAUGCGCUUCAAGAUGGUGUUGAACAUAAGGGCUCUGUUUCUGGCUUUCACAACUGCUUUUAACAACUCUCCAAAUGCUGCUCCCAGUGCAGCCCCACCAACUAAUGCAGCUGCCAUCACAAAUUCUGGUUUUGUGCAGAUGAUGACAAGUCCCAGAGGGGCCAGAACUCGC
rnacentral:misc_RNA from 1 species